AAGCAGUGCUGGUGUGGAUGUAUCUGAGACUUUCUUUUCACCUUGAGGUCUCCAGUGAUGACUCAAUAUCUCCAGCCUCCAAGCAAUCAUCUAACACACUUCAGCUAUUAAAUUAUUGGAACAGUCCUUAAGAUUGGGACCGAGAUUCCUCCGAGGUGAAUCGGUGUACAGACGAUGGCGGGUAUUAGAACCGGGUCAAGGUGGUGCUGUAUCUACAGUGCAUCUGCUCUCUGUGAAGAUUAUCAAUCAUCUCUUCACUCUUAAAGCUUUCCAGUUUGUGUGUGUGUGUGUGUUUUUUUUAAGGGGUCAGGGAUGUUUUCUGCUUUCAUACUGGUUUCCCCACCUUCUCAUAUGUCUCAUAAGUAAUUAUUUUUGUCGUCUCAUCUGUGAUGUAAUUCCUCAUUAGCGAUCUAAAAUGUAUCUACAGUACAGCCAGAUUACAGGUCUUAUAUCUGCAUCACUCGAACUCUACUUUUUGUUUUGUUUUUUAAUUUGAGACUGUGUGAAUUAUUUGACCGCACAAUAUUCAAUUCUAUUUUAUUCGCGUAGCGUUUUUAACAACAGACAUCGUCACAAAGCUGCUUUACA